rnacentral:rRNA from 1 species
UACGAAGGGGGGCUAGCGUUGCUCGGAAUUACUGGGCGUAAAGGGAGCGUAGGCGGGUUAUCAAGUUGGGGGUGAAAGCCCGGGGCUCAACCUCGGAAUUGCCUUCAAAACUGAUAACCUGGAGUAUGGAAGAGGUAAGUGGAACUCCGAGUGUAGAGGUGAAAUUCGUAGAUAUUCGGAAGAACACCAGUGGCGAAGGCGACUUACUGGUCCAUUACUGACGCUGAGGCUCGAAAGCGUGGGGGAGCAAACAGG